GUUUGCCUUCGCGAAGUUUUCGCCUUGGCCGUCGCAGUGCGGGGGUCGGUGCGUGGGGGUUUGCGCUUGAGGGAAAAAGGCUGCGGUUGAGAUAAUCGUUUUCCCCUGCACAGCGGUGAGGAGCUCAUGCAGGUUCUGCAAGGACCUCACCACGGAGGGAUUCCUCCCUGCCAAGGCCUCAGCCACCUCAGCAGCUUGCCCAUCCUCCUGCCUGCACCUGGCAGCCCUGCGCCUGCUGCAGCUGUGUGACUGUGGGAUACUGAGAAGCUCCUGCUCAAGGGAGAUACAUCGCUGUAUGGGAACUGCUGUGUCACGGCCUGAACCUCUGAUCACCUGAGGUGAGCUGUGAGUCAGCCAGAGGAGCACAGGUGAAGACAAUUCCUAGACCUGUUUAAGAGCUGGCUACCAGUGGGGAAGGAUCUCUGCUGGAGUUUUGUGAGUGAGCCCAGGAUAGGGGUAAGCCUUCUGUUUAUUGUCCUGUGUUAUCACAGUCUGCUUUGCCUCACUCUCUUGUUUAUUUUGUGAUUAUAACAUUUUAAUAUUCUUUGAUUAUACACAUCACCGUCUCUCUCAAGUGAAAUGGAUUUGAAGCCAUCCGUGGAACAGAUCCCAGCUUUCAUCUGUUCAGAACUAGGCACGAUAAAAGGAUUUGUGGCCGAGCCAUAUUUGUAUGCCUUCCUGAUAUUGAUUAAAUCGUCAUUUGAGGAUUAGGGAUCUCUUAAAUGGG